GCCUGUGUGCAUCGCUGCUCUGUUCACAGCAAUGAAUCCCGGAAACCCGGCUGCUCACUAAUUACCCAGUAACUAUGGAGGUCCCCCGAAGGACAGACCUGUGCCCUUGAGGCAGGGCCCUGAAGGAGGCCAACUUUAAUGGAGGACCUAGCAAGUGCCAGGCAGCAUUCUGAGCCCUGGAAUCCGGUGAUGAACAUGACAGACAAGAUUCCUGCCCCCAAGGAGCUGCACCUUAAUAAGUCCCGCAAUGAAGGAGACAGAACAUAAACAGAGGAAAAUACACAAGAUGCCAGCUUGUGAGAAGUGCUAGCAAAAAAAGACACAAGUAUGUCCAGAGAGUCUGAGGUGUAUACAGCUCAUUUCACCAAUGAAAAGGCACUGGCAACAUCUCCUAUGCAGAUUAGCCGCAGCCUCCGGUGCCGAUUUAGCAAAGCCAUGAUUGACCAGAUCCGAGGCUCGCUGCCCUGUGGAGCUGCUUCCUAAUUAUGUUACUUCAAGCACCCAUCCCCAGGGUGCAGGUUAAAGUUAACCAGCACACUAAUGUACAUCAAGCAGUGUAGGCGGAGGCGCAGUUCUGAAGACAGUCACCAAUACGCGGCAAAUACCUAUUGUGAG
rnacentral:lncRNA from 10 species